CAGUAGCCACGGUAAUACGAACGGGGCUAGCGUUGUUCGGAUUUACUGGACGUAAAGCGCACGUAGGCGGAUCGAUCAGUCAGGGGUGAAAUCCCAGAGCUCAACUCUGGAACUGCCUUUGAUACUGUCGAUCUGGAGUAUGGAAGAGGUGAGUGGGAUUCCGAGUGUAGAGGUGAAAUUCGUAGAUAUUCGGAGGAACACCAGUGGCGAAGGCGGCUCACUGGUCCAUUACUGACGCUGAGGUGCGAAAGCGUGGGGAGCAAACAGGAUUAGAGACCCCGGUAGUCCCUGUCUCUUAUAA
rnacentral:rRNA from 1 species